rnacentral:rRNA from 1 species
AGAGUUUGAUCCUGGCUCAGGAUGAACGCUAGCUACAGGCUUAACACAUGCAAGUCGAGGGGAAACGAUAUUGGAAGCUUGCUUCCGAUAGGCGUCGACCGGCGCACGGGUGAGUAACGCGUAUCCAACCUGCCCACCACUUGGGGAUAACCUUGCGAAAGUAAGACUAAUACCCAAUGAUAUCUCUAGAAGACAUCUGAAAGAGAUUAAAGAUUUAUCGGUGAUGGAUGGGGAUGCGUCUGAUUAGCUUGUUGGCGGGGUAACGGCCCACCAAGGCAACGAUCAGUAGGGGUUCUGAGAGGAAGGUCCCCCACAUUGGAACUGAGACACGGUCCAAACUCCUACGGGAGGCAGCAGUGAGGAAUAUUGGUCAAUGGACGAGAGUCUGAACCAGCCAAGUAGCGUGCAGGAAGACGGCCCUAUGGGUUGUAAACUGCUUUUAUAAGGGAAUAAAGUGAGUCUCGUGAGACUUUUUGCAUGUACCUUAUGAAUAAGGACCGGCUAAUUCCGUGCCAGCAGCCGCGGUAAUACGGAAGGUCCGGGCGUUAUCCGGAUUUAUUGGGUUUAAAGGGAGCGUAGGCCGGAGAUUAAGCGUGUUGUGAAAUGUAGAUGCUCAACAUCUGAACUGCAGCGCGAACUGGUUUCCUUGAGUACGCACAAAGUGGGCGGAAUUCGUGGUGUAGCGGUGAAAUGCUUAGAUAUCACGAAGAACUCCGAUUGCGAAGGCAGCUCACUGGAGCGCAACUGACGCUGAAGCUCGAAAGUGCGGGUAUCGAACAGGAUUAGAUACCCUGGUAGUCCGCACGGUAAACGAUGGAUGCCCGCUGUUGGUCUGAAUAGGUCAGCGGCCAAGCGAAAGCAUUAAGCAUCCCACCUGGGGAGUACGCCGGCAACGGUGAAACUCAAAGGAAUUGACGGGGGCCCGCACAAGCGGAGGAACAUGUGGUUUAA